UACGAAGGGGGGCUAGCGUUGCUCGGAAUUACUGGGCGUAAAGCGCACGUAGGCGGAUCUUUAAGUCAGGGGUGAAAUCCUGGAGCUCAACUCCAGAACUGCCUUUGAUACUGAGGACCUUGAGUUCGGGAGAGGUGAGUGGAACUGCGAGUGUAGAGGUGAAAUUCGUAGAUAUUCGCAAGAACACCAGUGGCGAAGGCGCUCACUGGCCCGAUACUGACGCUGAGGUGCGAAAGCGUGGGGAGCAAACAGGAUUAGAAACCCUG
rnacentral:rRNA from 1 species